CCGCGGGCCCGCCGCAUCACCACGGAGUUGAGGUUGACGUUGAGAGAGCCGCGGAGGCAGGAGGCCGAGUAAGACAGGAGGCAGGAAGUGCCAUCGCUGCCUCAGAUUGCCUGCAGCUGAAACAGAGAAGCAUGAAAGAGGCUGAGUGCGGAGGAAAAGGUUCAGGCUGAUUAAAAGAAUAGCAACUACUGGUUUCGAA